ensembl:lncRNA
AGACAAUUAGGUUUGUAUUGUAAAUACUGGACUGCUGGACCAAAGCUGCCAUGGCUCGAGAAGAGAGUGUGGCAGGAGUCUGUGCAAUGACUGAGGCUGGAAAUUGUCUUCCCUACCAGAAUAAAGAAUUAUUAGCAUAUAUUAACAAUGGUCUAUUAUGGUUGGUCCCCAAAAUAGAUGUUACUCAAGUUAAAUAUAACACAGGGGCAAAUAAAAUGAAGCCUGGUUUGAUUUCUUUUCCCUUUGCAAAAAUGAAUGUUAUGCAAGUAAUAUGAAUGUCUGAGUUUGCUUAUGAAAGAGUAAUAUGAUGCUCUUGGAAAAAAAGAGAUUUAGAGAUAAGAGCAGCAUAUAUAUAAGAUUCGUUCUUGUAACUCUACAUAGUUCUGCCUGUGCCUCAGCAAGAGUACCUUGUUCAUUACUGGAUCCCAGACUUCAUGGUAUAGGUAGACAUUCAAGGAUGUAGUGCAGAGAAGAGCAGUACAAAUAAAUUUAGAAAACAUUAGUUUUGAGGAAAAGUCUAAAAAAUACUAAAGGGCAGUGUUAGAUAGUGUAAGACAUAGCAUUUAGUUGAAUGUUAGGAAAAAUUUCUUCUCUGAAAGAGUGGUCAAGCACUGAAAUGUGCUGUCCAGGGAGGUGGUGGAGUCACUGUCCCUGAAGGUGUUCAAGAAACAUUUAGAUGUUGUACUGACGGACAUGGUUUAGUGGGAAAUACUGGUGAUAGGUGAAUGCUUGGACUAGAUGAUCUUGGAGGCCUUUUCCAACCUUGGUCGUUCUAUGAUUUCGUACAUGAAAGGUGCUUUGAGGAAGAUCAAAUUAUUACUUUACACUAUGAGAGAAAAAGAAAAACAAUGAUUAAUAUUUAGCUAAAAGGAUAUUAAUAAUAGAUUUGUUUUGAAAAUCCUUGUUAUAAGGUAAUGAAGAGUGAAAGAGGUAGCUAAGGAAUACUGGGAAACCUCUUUCACUUGGUGUUUUUACAGACUGCUUGGAGAUACAUUUUUAAGGGUGAUCAUAAUAUUUUUCACUUGUCUGUCUCCAGAAAGAAAUUAUACAAUCUCUUGAAGGUUAUUCUAGCUCUGUUUGCAGAUAGUAUGGACAAAUUUUUUCUUAAUUAAUUUUUCUCAUCUCUGCUUGCUAGAAAAAAAAAUCCAGACUGAAUUUUCCUGGUUUUAUUAAAAUGGUACUCUGUCACUGCUCUCUUUGUAAACCAUUUUAUUCUCCGAGAGAAAUGCUCAUAAACAAUGUCAACAAACCAGAGUCCAUGAAACCAUUUAGGAAGAAAUUCGGCUCUAUGACUAGAUCUAAUUUUAGGAGCUCAGUGUCCCAGGUGGUAUGGAAAACCACAAGCAAUUUUUUUUUUCCAUUAGAACCUGGAUAGAUAUUUAUAACACCUGAAUAUGUCAGGGAAGUUAUUCAUUCUUCAGCUGCUUGAUAAAUUAUUGCAAGGACUUUUUCUUAGAGUAGUUUAUCCAUGCAGGUCAUUCAGAAACAUCAGUUAGUGCAGCAUGCUUUUCUAUGUUUUGGUCAUGAAUAUCAAAUAAUGUUCUCUGUCCUUCCUCCUACCCUUUUUUUUACACUGUAUUCUGUUAUUAUUUACCAUGCCAUCUGAUGUACCAGUUUUACUUUAUUAACUAUAAAUGCUCUUGUCCUCAGCUGGUUCAGAGGUUUUGCUUUUCCAUGCAAUUCUUGUGUAGCUGUGAUGCUUAAAUUCUUACCCACCAGAUUUAAACAGCCAGACUUGAGCAAAAAGUAAAAAAAAAAAGGCAAAAUUCUUAGAUUUUUACUUCUGAGUUAAGGGAUAUCCAUGUAUGUUCUGGGAGGGAAAUGAGAGACUGAUAUAUUUUCUUCUUUAAAAAAAAAAUAAAAAAAAAUUGGUCAUAGAUUUUGAUUUAUUCCCUUUUUAUAUUUUUCAUUCAGAAGACAGAUAUGGUUUAUAUAAUCAUGGAGAAGAUGUUAAAUGUAAUACAGAGUUUAUAAAUCAUACAGCCCUUGAUGUCUACAAGUGUAUACUCAUAUUCAUAACUUGUCUAGUUACAUUUAUGUUGCCAGAGAAACUGUUUACUUUUCCUUAGAUUGUGCAAAACUGGACAGAAAAUUUCCAAUGCUCACUGCUUCCGUUUCAACCAGAAAUACUGUGCAAAAAGUUCUCUAUUGUUUCAACACUUCCUCUUUCAAUUUCAUUUGGAACUGAGGAGUAGAGGGAAGUGAGCAAAUGAAAUACUAGAAAAGAAAAAAUCACUGAAUUUCUCUGAUUUUUGGAAAAAUCAGAAAAAGGGUUUUUUUUGUUUGUUUUUUUCUUUCAGUUUAGGCAUUAUGGGAAAUAUGUUUAAUUGAGCCAUAUUUGUAUUUCAGCUAUUUGUAAUACAAUUGGAGAGAAUAGGAGAGGGGAAGCAGCAUCUGAGAGGAAAAUAGUGCACCCUAUGGUAAGGAUCAAGUGGAUAUGUGGUCCAUUGGUCUCUCUGGUGGCUAUAGAGGAACUGUCUUUCAGACAGAGAAAGUGAAUUAAGCUGAACCCCUUUCCUUCUGGUCCCCUCAGCACCUCCAAGUACAGGAUGACUAUGGGUAGCAGGUUUGAAUUCUGUAAAACUGGAAUUCACUGCAAGUAUCCACCUAUCAAUAGUUAUUUCUGCUCUCUUCCUCUGUGUGUAUUCUUAGAUCACUGUGUUGCUUGUUUCCAGGUUUUCCUUAACAAAUAACUGUUAAUAGUGUUACUUCCACUUGUUUGCUGUUGUAACAAAUCUUAAUUAUGUAUCAUAUGAAAAUGUCAUGGAGUGAAGAUAUGAAAUAUAUAUGUCUGCUCAGUUAUAAGAGUGCUUUUACAAAUGUAACAUAGUUUGCUAUUACUGAAGCGCUAUUUUUCCCAUUUUCUAACACUGUUGUCUAAGAAAUAUGCAAUGUUAUAAAAUAUUAUAUCUCAGUAGAAUAUAUACUCUGGAAGAAGACCUACUGCCUUCUGCCAUCCCUGCAGAGCUAUUGCAUUCAACAGUCUGUCUUGACUCAGGUUUUUGGCUUUAUUGAAAAGAAAAUUUUACAAAUUUGGGAGUAAGUAUUUGACUCAGGAUGAUACUAUGCGUGUGUUAUUAUAGGCUUGUCAGUAGGUAUUAUGCACUGUUAACUGGGUUUUAAUUGGUUAAAAAUUAAUUCUACAGAUAAGACCUUCAGCAGAGAAACUGAGAUACAAGUAUGAUCUUUAGUGUUCAAGAUGGUGUUUGGCCUGUUUGUGGUUCUUCAUCGCAAAUGACAUUUUCAGCUUCAGCAUAUUUUUCUUUCUUUUAACAUUUUAAGGAAAGAAAAUUGAGUGCAAUAAGUAACAGAGUUCUAAUUCAGCUGUCAAUCAUCUCAGGGUGAUGUCCAAUGUCACCCGUUAUGCUCAGUAACAGAAAGGUUGUUCUAACUCUUCUGUAGAGCAGCUGUGCUGCCGUCAUUGGAGAGACUUCAGUCAGACUCUGUCUCUGACUCUGGGUAACAUGGCCAGUUUGUAUCUAUGUCUGAGUGCCUUCCCUGUACCCCAAGCAGGACACUGGUAUCUGAAGUACCUGCAGGAAAUGUCCCUGUGGCAUGGUGUAUGAGAGCUGUUGAAUCACGGCCUGAACCUCUGAUUGACCACCUGAGGCAAGCACUGAGUCAGCCAUGGGAGCACAGGUGAAGGCAAUUCACCUGUGUGACUGGAAGGCUCCACUCCUCCUAGACCCCAUUUAAGGGCUGACUGCCACCAAGGAAGGAUCUCUUUCUGGAGAUUGCUUGUCUUGGAGUCUUUUUUGGUAAGCCCAGGACAUGGGUAAGCUUUCCAUUCAUCUCCAAUUAUCUCUUUCUUUAUGCGAUAAUCUUUCCAGCCUAACUUCUCUAUGUACUUGCUGGUUAUACAACAUCUAUAUAGUCACUGAUUAUAUGUGUGGGCCUGGGCUGGGAACUGUGCGUGGACCUUUCUUGGGAAAGUUUGUGCAAGCCAAAGCCAUACCCAGGACUGUUGGUUGAAUGGUUCAGAUGAUCUGGACUAGACCUUAACUUUGUGCCCUGGACCAGCUUUAUUUGUUAUUAAAGGCACAUCUGACACAUAAGUCACGUGAGACCAAAGCAUUGGAGCAGUUUCUCAGAGACACUCAAAGCAUGAGAUAAAUGUUUCUGCUCAAGUAACAUGUUCAACAGAAUUACAUCUCUCCAACAACUUAAGCAUGUUGCUCCUAUUCCUGCUGGCCUCCAGAGACGAUAUAGCACAGGGCUGGAAGGCAAGAUCUGUUCCUUCACUAAAAUAAUACAAGGAAAAAAUCUGAAAAUACUGUGCUUGCACAGCAGUUAGAAGGACAUACUUUGUUUCACAGGUUCUUUAAAAACAUAAAUGUGAAACAUUUUAAAUAGAUAACCACCGUAGCUAAAGAUUUUUAAAUGCAAAUAUAUAGAAUUUCAGGGCUUGCAGUUCAACUUGAAUUUAAAAAUCACAUAAUUCUGUAUGGAGCGAUGACGUGAAACAUCAGAGAAGAUGCAUGACAUGGAAAGAACUUGGAUGAAACUGCUUGUAGGUUAUAGCAAGAAAUGGUCCUGCAAAAUCUGAUUGGCUGGGCAGGGACUGGAUGAUUUCAACUUUAAGAAUUUGGAGUGACCAUGAAGUGGGACAAGGCCUUUCAAAUUCUGCAUGACCUCAGAUGUUAGCCAAGAAGUGUGUUUUCAUUGAGUCACUGAAGUUAUAGGAGCUGCAGUCUCAGCUGAUGGGAUUCAUUAUUGUAAUUGUGUCAGGAAGCCAUAUUGUUUCACAGUUUCGUGGUUCCUCUCACACUACAUUUUUGGGUUCUGUUCUGUAAAACUAUUUGUGCUUACUAUGGCAGUGAUUGAGGGUGACCAGGGUAGGACAGUGCUGUGGUAGUCACAUACAAAGAGAGACCUUGAAAGCUGAAGAGAUUUACCCGAUAAAAAAUGCCACCAAAAUGUCACAUGUGCGGCAGUGAUUUCAUAGAAUCGCUAAGGUUGGAAAAAACCCACAGGAUCAUCCAGUCCAACCAUUCAUUCACCCUUCACCAAUGGUUCUCGCUAAACCAUGUCCCUCAACACAACAUCCAAAUGCUCUUUGAACACCACCAGGGUCGGUGACUUCACUGCCUCUCUGGGCAGCCCAUUCCAGUGCCUGACCACCCUUUCAGAGAAGUAGUAUUUCCUAAUGUUCCAGACUGAAUCUUCCCUGGCGCAGGUUGAAGCCAGGGUCAGGAUGGUGUCACCCUUCAUCUGCCUUUGCUGCACUUUUCAUUGUACAUAAGUGGAAGGUACCAAUCGGAUGUUUGCUGCUUGCUUCUGUUAUUCCCUUUUGCAUUUGUUGGUUGCCACGCUCAUCAAGCAGAGAUCAGGGAUGUUGCCACAUGAGCACAGUGAUUAGUGAGGCCCGUGGACCAGCUCUGUGCCUAGGAGAGUCCAUGAACACUGUGUGUGGUGGUCAAUGAGAAACCCUGCAGGCAGGAAGGAGUUGUAGGCCCUUUCUUCUUGCCCGCUUUACCCUUUCUCCUGGCUGUAGGGAGAAGAACUUUUCCAUUUCUGAUCCAUAGUCUAGGCUUCUCGCCCUCAUAUAAAGGUCUUACUUUGCUGCUUUUGAGGCAGUGUGAUGGUGUUGAUUUCUCUUUCAAUGUGGUUUAGAAUUUGGGGUGAGUAUAGUGUGAUUUGGCUUGAGUGGAAAUCCUGGUCUCCGUAAUUCCUUUGAUCUAAGAUUGUACCCUACACAUCCUAUACAUCCCAGAAAGAGGACUAAAACCUUACUGGAGGUUCUGUUCCCAUUGUUGAAAUGGGACUUUGCACUAAAAGGAGAUGGGUCAAGCAGUCUUUCUCUGACUGGAGGUGUUUAAGAGAAGGUGCUGGUUCUUGUGGUAUUUUGUCUAUUAUUCCACUAGGUGCAUGGGCAGUGCAUGUGCUAAACCCAGGGUGAUCCCUCUCCACAUCUGUCUGUAUGGAUGAAUAUCUGGUUUCUGGAAUACAAGAAUAUGGUCAAGUGACUGGAUCUCUUCAAACUGAGGUACUUUGGAGCUUGACUUCGAGAGCAGAGUGUUUUGGGCAGGUGGGAAACUACAAAAUAAAUAAUAAUAACAAAAAAGAAAACAAACAAAAAAAAAACCCAGCAAAUGCUUAACUUGAAUACAUCUAAUUCUAGACUGUGUACUGUGUUGUUUUUGAGAGAGUGAAAUGGGAAACAGUGGUACAUGGUACAAAAGGAAAUGUGAAUAGAUUCUUAGACAAUUCCUGAAAUUUCUGGCAUAGAAAACAUUUUCAAGUGCCAAGAUAUGAAUAACGGCUGGAAUGAAUGUGGUAGAUCACUACUGGUUAUUGGUGAUUCUAGUAAAUUGAAGGAGUUGAGGAACUGCUGUAGAGGUCAUAUUUCUGGUCAGAGAUUCAGGAAAAUGUACCCUUGGUAAAUCAGAAUAUGGUGACAGUCCCUCAAGGGGAAGUGGUUGCUUCUUGCAAGCUGUCUGAUUUUUACCUUCUUUUUUACAAUCAGCUCCUUCCAGCAGUCUAACAAGUGCAGAGUAAAAGUGUGAUUUCCUGUGAUCUACUUUUUUUGCAUCUCUCCAGAUUUAAUAAACCUUGUUUUACUUUCAUUGCUGAUGCUGGACAAAAAAAAUAAAACUCACAUACGUUCAUCUUCUAUUGCACAAGGGAACUAAGAAUAUUUCUGCAGCAGAGUCAUCAUUUGGCUCCAAACAACAAAAAGAAUAUUUAUUCAGCCUUGGGGCAUAAUAUAAUCUAAAGAGGGACAAGUGAUAUUUCAGAAGUCUGGGAGCACUGCAUACUGCACCAGAGCUGAGGAAGAAGCUGUUUGUCAUCAGCCUCUGCAGAACAUUGCCAUUAGGUCUGGUAACACUGGCACAUUUAUCACACUGGCAAAUUCUUCCUGUCAUCACUAGAUACCAUUCAACUUCAUUUUAAUGUGUUCUUUUCACUCUACUCUAAAUAAACAUAACAUCAGUUUUGAGAUGCUGCUUUUCUUGUUAAGAAAAAUAUGGCCCAAUUACACCUCUCUAGAAAUACCUGGAAUACCUUUGACAAAUACACCUCUGUUUAUCAGAGGGACUACCAUCUUCCAAUAAAAAAUAUUUCAAAGCCAUAGCAAAAAGUUUAGUCUAGUUGACUUUACUUAUAGAAAGUAUUUAGUGAGAUGGUGAAUUAAAAGGUCCCUUAUUGCAUGCCAUUUGGGUCUGGGCUUUCUUGUGGUAUUCCAGAGUAUUCAUUAGCUGGGGAGAUAAGAUUUACAGAGAAGUCUUGGAACUAAUGGAAAUAAUCUUUGCUGUGGAUGGACUAAAAAGUUAGCAUUCUCUGAUGGAUUACUGAACUCUCUCUACCUUCUUCUUAUCUGUAUUUUGUUAGGUGGUGAUUCCAGCUAAGGUAUGCAGGUUCAUUUCAGACCACAUAGGUGAGAGCUGAUGUUAGAAAUGAUUGGUAAAGAGACAGCAGAUAAACUCUUGUGUUUAAAUGCCCUUUGUAACUUGUUUAUUUAUUUAUUUAUUUUUCCUUGGGAAUCAGUUGGGAAAAGUUCUCCCACAAUUCACUGUGUCAAAAGUAUUGGGGCACCUGUUCCCAAUCGCAGAAGGGCUGAGGAGACAGGUGGAGGUGUUGCUGCAGGAACCCCAUCUGCUCCCAGAUGUGGACCUCCCUGGGCAGCUGCAGCAUGGAAAGCAGCUUUACUAGCCAAGGUUUUCUGUGGAGCUGGGAGUGCUCGGUGUUGCCUAUAGGCUAUGUCUCUGAGUACUACCAGCACAGCUAAGCUGUUACACCUUUGAUUUUGUUUUGCUUUUGACUUCUAAUUCUUGUUGUUAAGCUUCCAGACCUUGGAUGCUCUUUCCAAGUCAUGAUUGCCUGUAAAAAGUAUUUCAUGCCAACAGUAGAUAGUUGCACAGCUUACACACAAAAGUGACUGUGGAACCAAGUAUCUUAUGAUGACGAUCUGUGGAAAAAAAUAUCUUAAAAUCAUUGUUAAAGGUUUUCUGCUUAAAAUAUAAACUAGAUUUUCUCUGAAUCUCAGGAAAAGUUUGAAUCUUCCAGACCUAUCAUGCCACUUACUAGAUUAACCUUUUAUGCCCUUACAUUUUCUGUACAUUCAGAAGCAGAAGUACAGUACUGAUAUUUAGAAAUAAAUGUUUCUCUGGAACUUUUUUCCCCAUCUUAAUACAGAUAAGGAAGUACCAGACAUUUCAUUUGGAAGUCAUCUGUUGCAAAAUUUCUAACAGAUGAAGGAGAUUAAAAUAGAGAAGUUACAGAUGAAACACUGUUGUUUGGGUGCUUAUACAAGCACAGGGCUUGUAAACAUAUCCAGUAUUUUAAUGCUUAAUUUUUGGAAGUUCAGCUGAACCCCCACAAGAUUUUCCAAACUGAGAAUUCAGACUAUUGCUUGCUUCUGAAAACCUUAGCUGUUGAAGACAGUAUCUCUUUCUCAAACAAAUUUGUGCGGCUACCAUUCAUCUUCAUAAUAUAUGAGUACUUGGAAUAAUUGCUACUCAUGGAGGUAUGACAGUGUGAAAACUCUGACUGAAUCUGAAUUUUAUUUUGCACUCCAUCGCCACAAUGAUAGCAAUGAAAGAAAAGGUAGUACAUAAGUUUACAGUUUUAAACAGUGUUAAAAUAUUGCUGCCAAAAUUUCUGUUAGCCAGAGAAAACAAUAAAUAUACUGAAGUGCUAAGAAGCAACAGAUUCACAUGCUCUUUUUCUAUGGAAAGUUCGAGAAAAACUACUAACACAAACUGAUUUUAUUGUUCUUAGAGUAAAAUCAUAGUAUCUCUAGCAUAAUGCAUAGCAAAGCUGGCAAAAUAGUAUUACUAAGCUCAUGGCAGAUAUUUCUGCCUUCAUUACACAUGAAAUUCUUUUAAGAAAAAGUGAAAUGUGGUACCCAAUGCUGUGAAAAUAUUUUACUGUUGUGGAAUUUCCAGUGAUACCUUAUCAAUAGUUUCUCAAUUCAAAUGAGUAGUGUCUUGUUUUUUAUUUCAAAACACAUACAUUUUUUGUUGUCUGAAUAAUUCUGAACACUACUAAAAUUCUACUUGCUGAACAAUUCACAGAGUAUCAGUGGUUAACCCUGUGUCAGACUUUGCAGGGCCUUGGUGCUACAGCUGUACCCCUGCAUACAAAUACCAUUUACAUGCUGGAGGAUAGGGCUGUGAUGAAUAGUAAGUUCCUGGUAGUUAUCUCUAGUUAAAUGCAUCUGGUGUAAGCUAAUCUUAAAUUAGGUCUUUCAUAGCAAAGAACAGGUUAUCUAAGAAAGGAGGAUAGUGACAUAACUUAAAACUUGUUAUAAUGACUUAUUUCCUGGUAGAUUCUGUCUUUGUGUCCAUACUAUUUUUUCUGCCCCAAAAUGCUAUGUACUAUUAGGUCCUCAUCAUAGUGACAGUGUGGCAGGAGCUUUACGAAUACAGAGGUUUGUGUAAAAGUCCCAUUGUUUAAGGGGUAGAACAGAACAAACUAAAUAUCCACCUAAAAGACAGGAAUUCAGCAAGAAGUCAUUCCUAAGGCAAGAGGAAAAGAAGGAAAGAGGAUGGAAAGGGAAUCUCAAUCCAGCUAAAAGAUGGAAAGAUAAAUAAUGAAAAGUUCAAAUAAAAGACGAGCCAUCACGCUAAUUCUUGAUUGCUUUUUGUUUGGGAAGAUCUGGUCUGGAAUAAAAUUGCUCAUGUGUGAGGUUGGUAGCAUGAUUAGUUCUAAAUGACACGCAUGCACAGUCAGUGAUGUUACUGUCCAGAUAAUUUAGUCUCUUCUAGUGUUCAUCAUCCCAUUUCUUGAUGAGUUGCUGUGGAUGUUGGAGAUACAGACACUGACAGGGUAGUAGCAGCCCUUUAUGUCCUUCGUGGGGAGGAAAAACUAGAGUUGCAUAUCUUUGGAAUGGGAAUUGCUAGGGAUCUGCCUUUGGGGAAGGUAGACCGGUCCCAGCUUUGCUGAGUUACAUCUUUCCUGGUGUUGUGUAAAGGAUGAGCUCUGAAAUUAAUGGAAUUAAGUAGCAUUUUCUUCCUUGUGGAGAGAACUGAAGGUCAAAGUCAUCUAUAUUCUGCACCUGUAUUCUGUGAGAUUAAAUAAUUUUGGUGAAUGGAGCUGAACCACUGGAAAGCCUGAGUUGCUGAAACUUUGCUCAUCAUCCAUUGGGAUGCUGGUGCUAAGCAAUGAGUGAAGAAAAAAGAAAAAAGCUUAUUUGUCUUAUCUACAGUAUAUAUCCUCCUUUGCCGCAAGUAAUAAUCCCAUGGAAGUUGGCUUGAAGGUUAUUAUUAAUGGCACCUAUACAGAGAUGAGUACGCUCUGUAUUUGUGAUGUUUCUAUUUCCUUGCUGAGUCCUCCAAUUAAACAGCUGUGCAGGGAAGAAGGAAAAAGAUAUCACAUUUCAUUAACAUUGGCUUUGAUAUGUUUGGAGCUAGACAGAAAGCUAAGAUGUUACACAUCACUGGUUUAAGAGACCUAGGAGUGAGGUACAGUAUUUCUGUCUUUCACUCCAUCUGGGAUAUAAAAUGAUGAGGAACAGAUUUAGAUACAAUCACCUCCUUAUCCUAUUCUUGUGUGCAGUUGUGGAUCUGUGCCUUUCAGUGCUCUUUUAAAGGUGUGCUUCUGAUGUUAGCCAACACUGCUCGGCAAAUAAGCGGUAUGUUGAUAUUGGCACUGUACAAAGACUGUUAUACUUUCCAUAUACAAGGAGCAGCACAGGCAUUUUCAGCUUAGUCACCGUACUUCCCUUAAUGUGAGGGAAGAAAUAAAAUAUUUGAUGGUUAAAAACGUUUAUUCUCUGUCUUAAGUACCUUGGAGACUUCUUCAGGUAAUGUAUUUCUUAUGUAAGUAAUGCAAUACACAGAGUCAAAGUCCAUCUGUGUAGUCUUUGUCCAUGAAAUUAUGGUGUAUUUUGUGUUCUAGAUUUUAAGAAUUAGGAUAUUGAGAAAGUACUACUAUAAAUGAGAAAGCAAUUUUUUGAUCCUUUAUAUUCAUUAAACAUACUGCACAUUGUAUUUUCAAGGACAGCCUUUUGUGCAUAUUUCAGAUGUGAUAUAUGACUUUUAUGUCUAUUAUUUUAUAGAAGAGGAAGUGAAGAGAUGGGCAAUGUUGUUUGUCUUACUGAUCAUAAAAUGCUUGCACAAGAGGUAUUAGUACUUGCUGAAUUAUCCAAGAAAGUUUACAGGACACAUUCUUGCUCCCAGUCCCAGUUUAGUAAACAAACCUGCUUUCAUUUUGAGGGGUGUGUAUGCGUGUGUAAACAGAAAGGAAAUGUUCUGAAGCCUCAUGGCUUUGUCUGAGUCACUGCAGUGUACUCUGCAGCAGCAGAAAGCAAUUGUUGCAAACAACUCUGGUGAAAGCUUUUAAUAGACACUUGGCCGGGUAAGAAAGGAAAUGAGUUUUAGAAUGUCAUCUGUGGUGGUGAUCAAUAAUUUGCACUUUCUGUCUUUUUCUUGUGUUUUGGAUGAAACAUCAGACACAGUUUCUUAUGAUACUCCAGUACUUUCACAAGAUUAGAGGAGUUAGUGUUAGAGCCCUGGGCAAGUUCCAGUUGGCACAGCACAGACCGAUACUGCACUCUCAAAUAGGCAAAUUAUUCCUUCUUCAUCCUGUGUUCUAUACUUGUCUUUUGUGAAAUGCUGUUCCAGAGGUUUCAUUGGGAAGUUACAUGAUCCCUCUGAUACACAGUUUAUAAAUCACUUUGUAAAGUGCUGUGAGUGCCUUGAUUCUCUCUGGAGUAGAGGUGAUCUGCAAAUAGCCAUGCUCAUUAAUAACUCUUUUUUUUUUUUUAAAUUUCACUGCCAGCACUCACUUUUGUGAAAUUAGUGUCUUUAUAGCCUAUUAUUUUGUUGUGCCAUGUCUGAUCGUGGAAGUCAUCCAGGUCUGGUCUGGUGGUGAGCUUUCUCUGUGGAUAGCAAACAGCCAGAGUGCAGCAACGACAGCAGCAUUAACAGUGGCAGGACACCAGGGAGCACGGGACUGGCCUGCUUCAGUUGAGGUGGAUAGCAGUUUCUCCAGACAUUGCGGCUUUGGUCUGAUCCAGUGGCUGUAAGAAGUCAUCACCAGAGUUGAUUUUUAUAAGUCUUAGUGCAGGGGGAAAUGGUCCUUAUUCAUUUUUACAAAAGAAGUUGCACUUGAUAGUACCUCCCAACAUCUUCUCAUGGAUUAUGAUUCUAACAGGAACAGAGUCAUGAUGGCUGAGAAAGAAUUGUUUGAGGAAUCUGAAUGCUUCAGGAUAUCUACUGAAAAUAGUUAUUCACAAACCGGAGACAACUUGUUUAGAAAACAAUGAGGCAACAACUCAGUUUCUAACGAGCCUGCGGCAACAAAAAAUGCAUACCCCUGACAUGCAGCCAUAAGUAACUGCAUGCUGUGUCAUUCCUCUCUUUCAUUAGCAGCAGCUGAAUGAAUCCUUGUUGUAGAACGGAGGAUUCAAUUUAGGACUUAAAAUGUACACGUUUUAGAAGAAAUACUAAUGAGAAAUUCUUAAGAUGCACUAUUUCUUCCAAAUGUUGUCAAAAAAAAAGAGGAAAAAAAAUAAAGAUAGUACUUUUUCCCUUGAUAUCCAUGUAUAAGGGAUAAAAUGUGUUAGAUCUCUAUUCCAUGAGACUAUGGUAAUUUUUGUAAUUCUUAUUUAGUGUAUUUCAUUUUUUGCUCUUGUAGCUUAAGUAUUAUGCCUCCCAAUAUUCUGUGGGUAAUUUAUAUUCAUCUGUCACUAGAGGUAUUUUUUUCUUUUUAAUUUCUCAUUGAUGAAAGACAGUUCUUAGGAUUAUAGUGACCUAAUUGUUAGUGUCUAACAACUUUUUUAUUUCCUCAUGUUAAUCUUUCCAUAUUUCUGGGAAUGUCUGCACCACCUGUUCUGAAUAUUAGGCAACAACUUGGACUCAGAAAAUUACACAGUGUUUCUGAAAUGUAGAACAUAGCCUUAUUCUACAGACUGUGAGUAUUGUGAUGCUUCUCAAACCGUUAGGGCUACCAUAUAAAAUUAUACAUUUUCAGUGAGGUAGGCAGUACUACUCUAAGACAUAAAUAAAAUGUGGGGAAUGGUCAGAGGAGAUGUAAAUAGAAUGUGAGGAAUGGUCAGGUGGGGGUCUAAUCUUUCAGGUUGUGUAGACUUAGAGCAGUAAAUGCUCCCUGUCUCUAACAGAUUAACAUUAGCAUUGCCAGGAAAUGUGUGUGUUAAGAAGGAAUUGAGUGAAUGCUAUUACUCUCCAGGGGAAAAAUACUGAAAGAUUACCU